UCUCUCUCUGCCCUUCCCCUGCUCAUGCUCUCCCUCUCUCUCUCAAAUAAAUAAUAAACUUAAAAAAGAAUCAACUGGGCAUAUUUGUGUGGAUCUACUGCUUUGUUCUGUAUUUCCUUCCAUUGAUCUAUAUGUCUAUCCUUUUACUAAUACUACACAGUCUUGAUUAAUAUAGGCAUGUACUAAGUCUUGAAAUUGAGUAGACUGAUCCCUCCCACUUUAUUCUUAAGAAAAAAAAAAAACCCUUAUUCUAGCUAUUCUAAUUGCUUUGUAUUUCCAUAUAAACUUAAGGGUAAUAUAGAAAAUUGAGAAAAAUUUUGCUGAGAUGUAUGUUAAAUCUAUAGGUCAAUUUGGAUGAAAUUGAUACUGUUUUGAGUCUUCCAAUCCAUGGACAUGAACUUCCAGUACUAUGUUGAAUGACGAGAAUGGACAUUUUUGCCUUCUUCCCAAUCUUACAGGGAAGUAUUCACUAUUUCAUUGUUAAAUAUGUUAGAUAUACUUUUUUUUGUAGAUGUUCUUUAUGAAGUUAAGGAAGUUACCUUCUUUUACCCUUUUUUCUGAGAAUUUUAUCAUGAAUGGAUAUUGACUUUUGUCAAAUACUUUUUUUAUUUCUGCAUGGAUUGAUGUGAUCAUGUGAGUUUUCUUUAACUUGUUAAUAUGGUAGAUUACAUCAAUUAAUUUUCAAAUAUUGAACCAACUUUGCGUUGCUAGAAUAAACCCACCAAGUUGA